rnacentral:tRNA from 1 species
ACUUGGUUGGCUCUGUUGGUAGAGCAUGAGACUUUUGAUCUCAGGGUCAUGAGUUCGAGCCCCACAUUGGGUG